UACAGAGGGUGCGAGCGUUGUCCGGAAUCACUGGGCGUAAAGGGCGCGUAGGCGGUCCGGUAAGCGUGCGGUGAAAGCCCGGGGCUCAACCCCGGGUCGGCCGUGCGAACUGCGGGACUGGAGCAUGUCAGAGGCAGGCGGAAUUCCGGGUGUAGCGGUGGAAUGCGUAGAGAUCCGGAAGAACACCGGUGGCGAAGGCGGCCUGCUGGGACAUUGCUGACGCUGAGGCGCGACAGCGUGGGGAGCAAACAGG
rnacentral:rRNA from 1 species